rnacentral:rRNA from 1 species
CAGAGUCCGAGUUGUAAUUUGCAGAGGGCGCUUUGGCAUUGGCAGCGGUCCAAGUUCUUUGGAACAGGACRUCACAGAGGGUGAGAAUCCCGUACGUGGUCGCUAGCCUUUGCCGUGUAAAGCCCCUUCGACGAGUCGAGUUGUUUGGGAAUGCAGCUCUAAAUGGGAGGUAAAUUUCUUCUAAAGCUAAAUACUGGCCAGAGACCGAUAGCGCACAAGUAGAGUGAUCGAAAGAUGAAAAGCACUUUGGAAAGAGAGUCAAAUAGCACGUGAAAUUGUUGAAAGGGAAGCGCUUGCAGCCAGACUUGCCUGUAGUUGCUUAUCUGGACUUUUGUCCAGUGCACUCUUCUGCGGGCAGGCCAGCAUCAGUUUGGGCGGUUGGAUAAAGGUCUCUGUCAUGUACCUCUCUUCGGGGAGGCCUUAUAGGGGAGACGACAUGCAACCAGCCUGGACUGAGGUCCGCGCAUUUGCUAGGAUGCUGGCGUAAUGGCUGUAAGCGGCCCGUCUUGAAACACGGACCAAGGAGUCUAACAUCUAUGCGAGUGUUUGGGUGUCAAGCCCAGACGCGUAAUGAAAGUGAACGGAGGUGGGAACCCUUUGGGUGCACCAUCGACCGAUCCUGAUGUCUUCGGAAGGAUUUGAGUAAGAGCAUGGCUGUUGGGACCCGAAAGAUGGUGAACUAUGCUUGAAUAGGGUGAAGCCAGAGGAAACUCUGGUGGAGGCUCGCAGCGGUUCUGACGUGCAAAUCG